rnacentral:rRNA from 1 species
AGGGUUUGAUCAUGGCUCAGAGUGAACGCUGGCGGCAGGCCUAACACAUGCAAGUCGAGCGGCAGCGGGUCCUUCGGGAUGCCGGCGAGCGGCGGACGGGUGAGGAAUGCGUCGGAAUCUGCCUUUUUGUGGGGGAUAACGUAGGGAAACUUACGCUAAUACCGCAUACGACCUACGGGUGAAAGUGGGGGACCGCAAGGCCUCACGCAGAAAGAUGAGCCGACGCCGGAUUAGCUAGUUGGCGGGGUAAAGGCCCACCAAGGCGACGAUCCGUAGCUGGUCUGAGAGGAUGAUCAGCCACACUGGAACUGAGACACGGUCCAGACUCCUACGGGAGGCAGCAGUGGGGAAUAUUGGACAAUGGGCGCAAGCCUGAUCCAGCCAUGCCGCGUGAGUGAAGAAGGCCUUCGGGUUGUAAAGCUCUUUUGUUGGGGAAGAAAAGCAUCUGAUUAAUACUCGGGUGUUCUGACGGUACCAAAAGAAUAAGCACCGGCUAACUUCGUGCCAGCAGCCGCGGUAAUACGAAGGGUGCAAGCGUUACUCGGAAUUACUGGGCGUAAAGCGUGCGUAGGUGGUUCGUUAAGUCUGAUGUGAAAGCCCUGGGCUCAACCUGGGAACUGCAUUGGAUACUGGCGAUCUGGAGUGCGGUAGAGGGUGGCGGAAUUCCCGGUGUAGCAGUGAAAUGCGUAGAUAUCGGGAGGAACAUCCGUGGCGAA